AACGAACGCUGGCGGCAUGCCUAACACAUGCAAGUCGAACGAGACCUUCGGGUUUGGUGGCGCCCGGGUGCGUAAAGCGGGGGAUACUGCCCUUAGGUUCGGACUAAAUCUCCGGAAUGGGUGCUAAUACCGGAUACUGUCUUCGGACCAAAGAAUGAUCGCCUUUGGGUGGGGCCGCGUUGGUUUGGCUAGUGGGUAGGGUAAAAGCCUGCCAAGGCGACGAUGCGUAGCUGGGCUGAGAGGCGGACCCGCCAGGCUGGGACUGAGACACGGCCUAGAAUCGUACGGAGGGGAGCAGAGGGGAAUACUGGACGAGGGGGGAAAGCCUGAUGCAGCAGCGCGGCGGAAGUGAUGCAGGCCGUAGUGUUGUAAAGCUCUUUUACCCGAGAUGAUAAUGACAGUACCGGGAGAAUAAGCACCGGCUAACUACGUG
rnacentral:rRNA from 1 species